UUUUAAAUGCAACCAACUCAAUUAAAGGGGAAAUACAAGUAGACUAUGAGAUAGAUUGAUCUGAUGGAGAAGAGGGUGGUUAUGGCAGAGUCGAUGCUGGAGGGUACAUUACAGUACCAAUCUGGUCAAGCUAAGUGUUCAAAUCCAUCAAGAAUGCUAUUGAAUCCAUUGAAAGGGCUGUAGAGCAUGGAAUAAUGAAUUUUCUUAUUUCGUCAGAUUCUACAAUGC